CAACAACAGCCGCUUUUUCUUGGGCAAUGGAAGGGCUGAUAUACUGUUACGUCACAACGCUUCAAAGUUGUCGAAUUAUUUAUUGUGGGGUUGAGCCUGUUGCGUCACCGUGGCGGUGAACGCACCCUAUAUAAUGAGAGCCACCAAAACCGUUUUAGCAGAAUGGACGGAGCGAGGCAGGCGGGCUGGCGGUAGUGUCUUCGGAUAAAGACAAGACGGAUACUCCAGAAAAGCUGCUGGUUUGCAAUGAAGAAGGCACUUUCUCGUUAAUAUUCCGG